AACGAACGCUUGCGGCAGGCUUAACACAUGCAAGUCGACCGCCCCGCAAGGGGAGCGGCAGACGGGUGAGUAACUCGUUGGAAUCUACCCAUCUCUACGGCAUAACGCACGGAAACGUUUCCUACUACCGUUUCCGUCCUUCGGGAGCCAGAUUCAUGGGGGAUUGAUGAGCCCGCGUUGGAUUAGCCAGUUGGUGGGGUAAAGGCCUACCAAGGCGACGCUCCAUAGAUGGUCUUGGGGGAUUGUCAGCCACACUGGGACGGAGACACGGCCCAGACUCAUACGGGAGGGAGCAGUGGGGAAUAUUGGACAAUGGGCGCAAGCGUGAUCCAGCCAUGCCGCGUGAGAGAUGAAGGCCCUAGGGUUGUAAAGCUCUUUCACCGGUGAAGAUAAUGACGGUAACCGGAGAAGAAGCCCCGGCUAACUUCGUGCCAGCAGCCGCAGUAAGAC
rnacentral:rRNA from 1 species